rnacentral:lncRNA from 1 species
UGUUGCUUUGUUGUUUAUUGCCCUGUUGCCUUGUUGUUUGUUUUUUGUUGCACUUCUGUGUUCUGUUAUUUCGUUGUUUUCCUCUUAUAGUUGAUGUGUUUGAACAACGGUAUACUAUUGUUGCCUUUAUUUGGUAGUAUUCCUUUUGUGUGGCUCGGUCUGUAUACAUCAGGUCAUUGUGUAAUUGUGCUAUGGUCAAUUUGUGUAUUCUUGUCUUUCAGUUUUGUUAACGUGCUUUGUCUAUAUGCCAUUUUGUUUUUCUUGGCUGACAUAUUUGUUUGUUUUUUUAGUGAUUGAUAUUAUAAAACAUUGUUGACUACUGUACCCCCCAUUUUUGACAUUUUUACUUAUCAUAUAUUUUUGUUUGUUCAAUACAAUGAAAUUUAAUGCGACUCAUACAAAUAAGAGGUUUAGCUAGUUGUAAAACUUGGUUUAUUCCACUGUUUUCUAGACAAGGAAAUGCCUGUACCAAGUCCUUUUUAUGGAAAAUGUAUAACAAACAUACCGAUUUCCAAGGCAAACUUUAAAAGGAGAAG